UACCAGCCGGGAUGGGAAACCGUUACGGCCAUUGCUGUGUUGCAUGGUGACAGAUCGAUCCCCGACACCAGGAAGAGAAUCGUGCCAGGGACUGAAGUAGUAAUACCGGAGAAGCACAGGAGGAGUGAAAGAAAUGGAGAAAAAACUGAGGAAAUGGGGAAAAAGGAUGGAGAAGCAAUGGAGAAAUAAGCAGAGUCCAAGAGGAAGAAGCAGCACGGUGAAAUGCAGUGGAAUAUAGUCCCUCGUGGAGGCACCAUACAUACAAUGAGUCUUCAGGAGCCCUAGGUAUAAAUGUUCUUCUAUAAUAUAGUAAUGUCACAAUCACUCUAUUCUGGCUCAGUGGUUGGCAUUGUUGCCCUGCAGCAUUGGGGUCCUGGUUUCAAAUCCAACCAAGGAAAACAUCUACAUGGAGUUUGGACGUUCUUGCCGUAAGUGCUGCGGAAUAUGUUGGCAGGAAAUAAAUCAAACAACUAUUGUUACACUAUGUAUUCCUGAAAAAUAAUUGGAGCUGAAUUUUUAUCCAGCCUUUCCUGAUAAUUGACGGCUGCACCAGCUGAAAUGUACAUUAAACUACAAUGCACCUUCUGGUAAUGGGAUAGAAGGAAAGCAGUAGUUCUGUGUCCAGCCGUGAGCACUGUACACUUCAUAUCCAUUACAUGUUAUGUGAGCCUGACGUAGCCAACGCUUUUGUUCUUCGGGUGAGAUGUUGUUUCUUGAAAUCCCUCUGGCAAGUCCCAAUUAGUUCAUUCGAAAAUAAACUUGUCAGCUUGGUCUACCGUUCCGCCCACCCCGCAGUCAUUUAAGUGCGUUAUACAUGGGAUUCCCUCUGGGACAUACAUGUCCCCUCCCCCAUGGCGUCGCCGCGGUUCUCUAUUAAUGUGAUCUCUUUCACAU